GCCAGGUGCAGUGGUGCACACCUGUAGUCCCAGCUACCCAGGAGGCUAAGGCAGGAGGAUUGCUUGAGCCCAGGAGGUCAAGGCUACAGUGACCUAUGAUCACGUCACUGCACUCCAGCCUGGGCAACAGAGCAAGAACCUGUCUCUA
rnacentral:SRP_RNA from 2 species